rnacentral:lncRNA from 1 species
AAGCUUCAGCUAUAUAUUAUAAAUAUAAUGUAACAUAUAAAGUAACAUAAUGUAAUUUUUAUAUAUUUAUAAUAGUAAUAUAACCACAUGACAGAACCUUUGAAAAGCAGAGAAAAAGAAAAUCCCUCCCUAUUCAGUAUUAAUAACUGUUCAACGCAGACACUGGGUAACUAUGCUCUGAUUGACAGUGAGAGGAAAAAACACUUUCUUCCUUACCCCUUGAGUUUGACUGGACUUCCCUCCUGGCUCAGCCGGAACAAAAGCCAAGUUUGUUAUUUGUUCAUUUCUUGCAUUUGA